GUUAGGAAUAUUGGACAAUGGGCGCAAGCCUGAUCCAGCCAUGCCGCGUGAACGAUGAAGGCCUUCGGGUUGUAAAGUUCUUUAGCCGAUGAUUAUAAUGACUGUAGUCGGAAAAUAAGCCCCGGCUAACUUCGUGCCAGCAGCCGCGGUAAUACGAAGGGGGCGAGCGUUAUGCGGAAUCACUGGGCGUAAAGCGUGCGUAGGCGGUCUCGUAAGUUAGGAGUGAAAGCCCAGUGCUCAACCUUGGAAUUGCUCUUAAAACUGCAAGGCUAGAAUCUCGGAGAGGAUAGCGGAAUUUCCAGUGUAGCAGUGAAAUGCGUAGAUAUUGGAAGGAACACCAGUGGCGUAAGCGGCUAUCUGGACGAGUAUUGACGCUGAGGCACGAAAGCGUGGGGAUCAAACAGGAUUAGAAACCCUGGUAGUCC
rnacentral:rRNA from 1 species